rnacentral:tRNA from 1 species
GGAGAAAUAGCUCAGCAGUUCAGAGCACUGACUGUUUUCCAGAGGACCUGGGUUCAAUUUCCGGUCUCGCUC